GACGAACGCUGGCGGCGUGCUUAAUACAUGCAAGUCGAACGGUGAAGCGACUUGCUUUCUGGUGGGAGGGGAGCAGCGGCCGAGGGGGGAGUAAGACGUGAGUAACCUGCUACCACUUGCAGGACAACGGGAAGAAAGAGCGGCUAAUACGGGAUAUUUUGGGUCUGAUGGAUGAAGGGUGUAGGACAGAUUUGGUGUCGGUGGGGGAUGGGUCCGCGGCGCAUUAGCUAGUUGGUGGGGUGACGGCUUACCAAGGCAACGAUGGGUAGCCGCCCUGAGAGGGUGAUCGGCCGUCCUGCAACUGAUACACGGCCCCCCCGCCUCCUGGAGGCAGCAGCAGGGAGUCUUCCAGCAUGAGCGACAGCUUGCCGGAGCAACGCCGCCGGAGUGAUGAAGGUCGUCUUAUCGUUAAACACCGUUAUUAGGGAAGAACAAAUGUGUACGUAAUUAUGCACGGCUUGACGGUACCUAAACAGAAAGCCCCGGCUAACUACGUG
rnacentral:rRNA from 1 species